AGGUGAUCCCAAGAGUGACCUAUGGGCUUCCUGCUAGUCUCCCCCAUAUAAGCCCUGGGUGGAUCUAGCGUCUCUCUCUUUGAGCUCUGCUCUUCUGCUAAGCUGAGGUCCAGUGCAGUCGUGCCUAUUGUGUGUGUGUCCAUAGUUUUGGAGACCUCAAAGUCAAGUCCUGCAGCCUCCAUCAAGUCAAACAAAGGGGUUCACAGACAUCGGGAGCAGAGACUGGGGAGACAGGUCAACGACCGUUUUACUCCAACUGUGGCUUCUACUCGACCAGGAAGAAGGAAGACACGGGCCCCUGCUGUGCUCCGGAGGAGGAGAUUGCUGCAUGGGACAUCAGAAAAGAAAAAGCUUCUACCACUAAUGAUGAAUUCCCCUCUUCUUCUUACUGGAUCCACUUCUGACUUUGGCUCAAAAACUGCAGUGGAAGUUUUCCAAAAAAUGCCAGAAAAAAGCCUCUGUGGAAACCUAGCCUAAGGGCCCUAGAAGACAAGUUCCUGACUCCUGACACUUGUACGUUUGGCUCUUGAGUCAUUAUGUCCCUGUGCCUGUACUUUUGUGCAUGCCUCUUCCCUGUUUGUUACUGUUUGUUUGCAAUAGUAUGGUAAGUUUUUUUGCAACUUGUGGUAAAGUAUUUUCAGAUCCUGUAUUAUCUCUAUUUUUAGAAUCCUGUUUAGAUGAACUAUACGUUGGAACGGAAGUUUGCGUUGGACAUCAUUCUUUGUCUCUAAUAUAUAUUACUUUAGGUUUAUAUAUAGACUUUCUAUUAUUACCAGUCCUCCUAAAGGGGUUUUCAAGGAUUUUUUUAUUUUUAUUUUUACUAUGUUACAGGGGCUGUAAAGUUAGUGUUCUUCAUAAUAUAGUGGGGGGGGGGGGGGGGUAUUCAAAGAAAUUAGUGCCACUCUUUUGCUCUAGCUGCGCCAAAUUUGCUUAAAAUGUGUCGCACACUACUAGCACCACAUAUUCAGAUAUUUAGCACCUGAUUUAGCACCCUGUUAGCCAAUUUUUUUAAAGGGGUGUGGUUAGGGCAUAGUUAGGCUUUUUCAAAGGUUUAGCACCACUUUCUAGUGCUCAAUGUGUAUCACCUAAUACCAAGUAUACUUGGUGUUAAAUAAUUAGCUUUUUUGUACUAUUUGCCCCAAACUUUCAAAAGCCCAAACUUACUUUUGAAAAUGAGGCACCGUUAACACUCUUUGAGGAGAAAAAUA